rnacentral:rRNA from 1 species
UACAGGCUAGCGGCGGACGGGUGAGUAACACGUGGGUAACCUGCCCCAAGAGAUCGGGGAUAACACCUGGAAACAGAUGCUAAUACCGGAUAACAACAGAUGAUGCCUAUCAACUGUUUUAAAAGAUGGUUCUGCUAUCACUCUUGGGAUGGACCUGCGGUGCAUUAGCUAGUUGGUAGGGUAACGGCCUACCAAGGCGAUGAUACAUAGCCGAGUUGAGAGACUGAUCGGCCACAUUGGGGACUGAGACACGGCCCAAAAACUCCUACGGGAGGCAGCAGUAGGGAAUCUUCCACAAUGGACGCAAGUCUGAUGGAGCAACGCCGCGUGAGUGAAGAAGGGUUUCGGCUCGUAAAGCUCUGUUGUUGGUGAAGAAGGACAGGGGUAGUAACUGACCUUUGUUUGACGGUAAUCAAUUAGAAAGUCACGGCUAACUACGUGCCAGCAGCCGCGGUAAU